rnacentral:lncRNA from 1 species
CCCAUCUCUGAUUUGAAUGAAUGAAUAAAUAAAGAGGAGAAGACAGCAGAGGAGGUGGCUAUGUUGCUCAGGAGGUGAGACUGACCCACAUCUGCCCUCCAGCAGCGCUGGCACUUGGUGGCAUGCAUGAUCUCAGCCCCAUCUCCUCUGAGCGGAUUCCUCCACAGCAGCUGGGCUCACGCAGCCACUUGUCUCAGCUCCACCUUCUCAUGGACUCAACAAAGCUGUUUCCAGCAGGGCUGAUUUUAACCAAGGGCUGGGGGUCUCGGGUUCCUGCUCUUCUUUUCCAGAGUGGAAGAUGCCUGGGUUCAAGCCAAUACUUCAGAGUGAAUGCACAAAAACCAAGGAAGACCUAGCUCCUUACUUCAAGGAUCUUAUAAUAACAAACCAGCCCAAUGUUGAAUACUCAUUGAACGUCUGCCAUAUUUGCAGUGUUGCUGUGGGAAAUACAAAAGAAAUCUAAGUCUUUGUUUUCCAAGAAUUUGUGGUCUAGUUGGAUAUUAAGAUCAGUACACAGGAAACAAUGGGGCCAAUAUCAGUUGGAAUGCCUUUGAAUGCAAGAAACAAAAAUCUCAACUGAAACUCACUUAAACAAGUAGCUGGUCAAAUAUUGUAAUUAAACAUCAGAGGUAGAACUGAUUUUAAUCUAGUGGGUCCAGAAGUUCAAAAACAUUAUUGAA